CUUGGUCAUUUAGAGGAAGUAAAAGUCGUAACAAGGUUUCCGUAGGUGAACCUGCGGAAGGAUCAUUAGUGAUAAAACUAUUAUCUUAACACCUGUGAACUGUGAACCGAAAGGUUCUUCCAAACAUUGUGUAAUGAACGUAAUACAUUAUAAACAAUACAACUUUCAACAACGGAUCUCUUGGCUCUCGCAUCGAUGAAGAACGCAGCGAAAUGCGAUAAGUAAUGUGAAUUGCAGAAUUCAGUGAAUCAUCGAAUCUUUGAACGCAACUUGCGCUCUCUGGUAUUCCGGAGAGCAUGCCUGUUUGAGUGUCAUGAUCUCUCAACCAAUAGAGUUUUCUAUUGGCUUGGAUCUGGGUGUUGCGAGCGAUCGCUCACCUUAAAGGAGUUAGCAUAUAGCAUGUCGUUUGGCGUAAUAAGUUUCGCUUAGUAAAUCGACAAGGCUUUGCUUCUAAUCGUCUUUUGACUUUUUUGACUCUGGCCUCAAAUCAGGUAGGACUACCCGCUGAACUUAAGCAUAUCAAUAAGCGGAGGA
rnacentral:rRNA from 1 species